rnacentral:rRNA from 1 species
GGACUACCAGGGUAUCUAAUCCUGUUUGCUCCCCACGCUUUCGUGUCUCAGUGUCAGUACUCGUCCAGUUGGCCGCCUUCGCCACAGGUGUUCCUCUCGAUAUCUACGAAUUUCACCUCUACACCGAGAAUUCCACCAACCUCUCCGGUACUCUAGUCACGCAGUAUCGAGUGCACUUCCUGAGUUGAGCCCAGGGCUUUCACAUCCGACUUACGCGACCACCUACACACGCUUUACGCCCAGUAAUUCCGAACAACGUUUGCACCCUCUGUCUUACCGCGGCUGCUGGCAC